rnacentral:rRNA from 1 species
AUUGAACGCUGGCGGCAUGCCUUACACAUGCAAGUCGAACGGUAACAGGUCUUCGGAUGCUGACGAGUGGCGAACGGGUGAGUAAUACAUCGGAACGUGCCUAGUAGUGGGGGAUAACUACUCGAAAGAGUGGCUAAUACCGCAUGAGAUCUACGGAUGAAAGCAGGGGAUCGCAAGACCUUGUGCUACUAGAGCGGCCGAUGGCAGAUUAGGUAGUUGGUGGGAUAAAAGCUUACCAAGCCGACGAUCUGUAGCUGGUCUGAGAGGACGAUCAGCCACACUGGGACUGAGACACGGCCCAGACUCCUACGGGAGGCAGCAGUGGGGAAUUUUGGACAAUGGGCGCAAGCCUGAUCUAGCAAUGCCGCGUGCAGGAUGAAGGCCUUCGGGUUGUAAACUGCUUUUGUACGGAACGAAAAGCCCUGGGUUAAUACCCUGGGGUCAUGGCGGUACCGUAAGAAUAAGCACCGGCUAACUACGUG